UACGAAGGGGGCUAGCGUUGUUCGGAAUUACUGGGCGUAAAGCGCGCGCAGGCGGCCUUGCAAGUCAGAGGUGAAAGCCCGGAGCUUAACUCCGGAAUUGCCCCUGAGACUGUUAGGCUUCGAGUACGGGAGAGGUGAGUGGAAUUCCGAGUGUAGAGGUGAAAUUCGUAGAUAUUCGGAAGAACACCGGUGGCGAAGGCGGCUCACUGGCCCGUUACUGACGCUCAGGCGCGACAGCGUGGGGAGCAAACAGG
rnacentral:rRNA from 1 species